UGGGGAAUAUUGGACAAUGGGCGCAAGCCUGAUCCAGCAAUGCCGCGUGUGUGAAGAAGGCCUUCGGGUUGUAAAGCACUUUUAUCAGGAGCGAAACGCUGUCGGCUAAUACCCGGCGGAACUGACGGUACCUGAGGAAUAAGCACCGGCUAACUUCGUGCCAGCAGCCGCGGUAAUACGAAGGGUGCAAGCGUUAAUCGGAAUUACUGGGCGUAAAGCGUGCGUAGGCGGUUUCUUAAGUCUGCUGUGAAAUCCCCGGGCUCAACCUGGGAAUGGCAGUGGAUACUGGGAGGCUAGAGUGUGUCAGAGGGUGGUGGAAUUCCCGGUGUAGCGGUGAAAUGCGUAGAGAUCGGGAGGAACAUCAGUGGCGAAGGCGGCCACCUGGGGCAACACUGACGCUGAGGCACGAAAGCGUGGGGAGCAAACAGGAUUAGAUACCCUGGUAGUCCACGCCCUAAACGAUGCGAACUGGAUGUUGGUCUCAACUCGGAGAUCAGUGUCGAAGCUAACGCGUUAAGUUCGCCGCCUGGGGAGUACGGUCGCAAGACUGAAACUCAAAUGAAUUGACGGGGUCAUAGCUGUUUCC
rnacentral:rRNA from 1 species